UGAGUGGCGGACGGGUGAGUAACGCGUGAGCAAUCUGCCCAUAUCUGGGGAAUAACAGUUGGAAACGACUGCUAAUACCGCAUAAGACCACGGGAGGGCAUCCUUCUGGGGUAAAAGAUUUUAUCGGAUAUGGAUGAGCUCGCGUCCAAUUAGGUAGUUGGUGAGGUAACGGCCCACCAAGCCAACGAUUGGUAGCCGACCUGAGAGGGUGAUCGGCCACAUUGGAACUGAGAAACGGUCCAGACUCCUACGGGAGGCAGCAGUGGGGAAUAUUGGGCAAUGGAGGCAACUCUGACCCAGCAAUGCCGCGUGAGUGAAGAAGGUUUUCGGAUUGUAAAACUCUUUAAGUGGGGACGAAGAAAGUGACUGUACCCACAGAAUAAGCAUCGGUUAACUACGUGCCAGCAGCCGCGGUAAUACGUAGGAUGCAAGCGUUAUCCGGAAUGACUGGGCGUAAAGGGUGCGUAGGCGGUUUAUCAAGUUGGUAGCGUAAUUCCGGGGCUCAACUCCGGAACUACUACCAAAACUGGUAGGCUUGAGUGCGGCAGGGGUAUGUGGAAUUCCUAGUGUAGCGGUGGAAUGCGUGGAUAUAGGAGGAACACCCGGCGGCGAAGGGCGGCUUUACUGGACAGUAACUGACGGUGAGGCUCGAAAGCGUGGGGAGCAAACAGGAUUAGAUACCCUGGUAUUCCACGCCGUAAACGAUGAAUACCAGGUGUUGGCGCCCACAGGGCGUCAGUUGCCGCCGCAAACGCAAUAAGUAUUCCACCUGGGGAGUACGUUCGCAAGAAUGAAACUCAAAGGAAUUGACGGGGAACCGCACAAGCGGUGGAGCAUGUGGUUUAAUUCGAAGCAACGCGAAGAACCUUACCAAAUCUUGACAUCCCGAUGACGGUCCUUUAACAGGGAUUUCCCUUCGGGGCAUCGGAGACAGGUGGUGCAUGGUUGUCGUCAGCUCGUGUCGUGAGAUGUUGGGUCAAGUCCCGCAACGAGCGCAACCCUUGUCCUCAGUAGCCAGCGGUACGGCCGGGCACUCUGGGGAGACCGCCAGGGACAACCUGGAGGAAGAUGGGGAUGACGUCAAAUCAUCAUGCCCCUUAUGAUUUGGGCUACACACGUGCUACAAUGGCGCCUGACAAAGUGAAGCGAACCCGCGAGGGCAGGCAAAUCACAAAAACGGCGUCCCAGUUCGGACUGAAGGCUGCAACCCGCCUUCACGAAGCUGGAAUCGCUAGUAAUCGCGGAUCAGAAUGCCGCGGUGAAUACGU
rnacentral:rRNA from 1 species